UUGUGAAGGUUGUGAAAGCGACCAGGCUGAUCGAGGUCGACUACUUGCAGAAAUUGAGGCAGGAAAGAGUGGAUGUGGGGUACCGACAGUACCGAUAUAAGUGGUUUUGAAAACAGAAACGUAUAUUAUAAUGGCGCUGGGAUGAGAAUGUGUGUUAAUUUGUUACCUAUAUAGCAUUACGUUACACAUUCUACUGCAGUGUCAGUAACUGUGUUAAAAUAUUUUUAUUAGUUUCUGCGUUACAUAAAGUCGACCGAUUUCUGCAACCUUAGAAAGUACAAACUAGAGAUGUUGACCGGAGCAAAUCAGUUUUUUAAACAUGCUGUACCAGAGAAGAAGGAAAAUAUUAGAAUUGGAUCAAGACGGAGCCAAUUAGCCCUAAUACAAACCAGAUAUGUUAUUGAGUGCUUGAAAAAUUUGAAUCCCGAGAAAACAUAUGAAAUAGUUGAAAUGUCAACUAUGGGUGAUCAAAUUUUAAACAAAGCUUUGCCAAAAAUAGGUGAAAAAAGUUUAUUUACUAAAGAAUUAGAGAUUGCUUUAGAACAGCAAGAUGUCGAUUUUGUGGUUCACUCUCUAAAGGAUCUACCAACAACACUGCCAGAUGGCCUGUGCAUAGGAGCAAUUCUGAAGCGAGAAGACCCACGGGAUGCACUUGUUUUGCAUCCAAAACAUGAAGGGAAGACUCUGAAAUCUUUACCAAAGGGCAGUGUUAUAGGAACAAGUUCCUUAAGGCGAACAGCACAGCUGAACAGAAGUUACCCAGAACUCAAAGUUGAAAAUAUUCGUGGUAACCUCAAUACAAGACUGAAUAAGUUAGAUAAUGGGGAAACAUAUGCAGCUGUAGUCCUUGCAUCUGCUGGCUUAUCAAGAAUGGGAUGGGAGAAGAGAAUCAGUCAGAAAUUAGAAGCAGAAGAACUAUUAUAUGCUGUGGGUCAAGGAGCUCUGGCGAUAGAGUGCAGAGAAGAUGAUUUUGCAACUCUCAGACUUCUGGAACCAUUAUUCCAUGGCACUACAACUUUUCGAGUACUAGCAGAAAGAAGCUUCCUAAGGACACUUGGUGGAGGUUGUUCAGCGCCAGUUGCUGUCAAGUCUGAACUGAUUGGACAGACACUCUCUCUCACUGGGGCAGUAUGGAGUUUGGACGGCAACAAAAUGCUGAGACACUCAUCUUUGUGUAGGUUGCAGUAUAAGGAAGAGGAUGAAGAUGGAGAACCACCAAGGAAGUGCCCCUACAGAAUGCCAAAACUAUUCUGCAGUAUUUCACCAGGGAAUUUGACCUACCGAGAUCUGGAAGAAGCAGAAAAAUUGGGCGAAGACUUAGCAUGUCAUUUGGUGAAUGAAGGAGCACUAGAUAUCAUGAAGGAAGCAAAGAAGCAGAAUGAAUCAAGUUGAAUUACCCUGAGGUAAUAGUGAAUAUACACACAUCUGACCAGGGAGCCUUUGUUGGUGGCAGUGACAUUUGUCAGCACUUUAUAUGGUGUUGUGUGCACAGUGGCAGAGUUGCAGCUAAGAAGACUACCAUUACAUUCAUGGUGCUACUGUAUUGUACCACUACUCAUUAUGCAAAUUAUCUGCAGUACUGUAUACCAAGUUUUGCCCUUUCAAAUUGCUAGACAGUGAUCUUAAAUGUACAUUAUUCAUGAUUUAAUCGUGAAAAUUCUGGAAGCACCAGCAUCUUGCUAUUUAAAUUUCAGUCUGUCAUUUGACUAAAAUGGUAGGCAUGUCUUGUUCAGAACUGAAAUUAAAAAUUUACAUAUGGGGAAGUACGGACAAUCAGCCAUCUGUAUGGAGAGACUGUAGGCACAGGCUUGCUAAUGGCAUAUGUCAGUUUGUUGAAACUUCAUUGUGAGAUGGGUGGAGCUGUGCUUUAUGUUUAGGAGGUUCUUUAUUCAUAUCUCAGUUCAGAGACUGGUGAUCCUGAUUGAUGUUUUUUGUGGUUUUUCUUAGUCCCUCAAAGAAGUUGCCCAUGUAAUACCUGAAAUUAGGUCACAGCCAUUCCCACAUCCUUUCCAAUUCAUUAUUCUGUAAUCAAACAAAAAUAUGAUUCUAUAUACCCUGAGUUACUGAUGGUGUCAGCGGCCUCCGUAGUCUAGGGGUAACGUUCUCACCUUAUGACUCAAGGUACGCGGGUUCAAACCCGGCGGAGG